rnacentral:rRNA from 1 species
AAAUGUAGUCUUAUUAUAACAUAAUAAAACUUUCAACAACGGAUCUCUUGGCUCUCGCAUCGAUGAAGAACGCGGCGAAAUGCGAUAAGUAAUGUGAAUUGCAGAAUUCAGUGAAUCAUCGAAUCUUUGAACGCACCUUGCGCUCCUUGGUAUUCCGAGGAGCAUGCCUGUUUGAGUGUCAUGAAACCCUCAAACCCAAGUUUUGGAUUUCGAUCCAUGCUUGAGUUUGGAUUUGGAUGUUUGCCGGUGAUGAACCGACUCAUCUUAAAAGUAUUAGCUUGGAUCUGUCUAUAUGACUGGUUUGACUUGGCAUAAUAAGUAUUUUGCUGAGGACAUCUUCGGAUGGCCAGGACCUAGACUACUGUCUGCUAACUAAACCAUCACUUUAAGUGCAUCUUUGGAUGUUACUCAUUGUGUAACUUCGACAUCUGGCCUCAAAUCAAGUAGGACUACCCGCUGAACUUAAGCA